CGCUUGGCUAUGAUUUGUAUAACAAAACACUAUAUCAUUAUUUGAAGUUAGAUUUUUUUGCUAGUUUGUAAGUGAAAUAUUUACCUCUUGAUAUGUAGGGUAGACCUGGCAUUGAUGGGAAGAGAGGUCUGGCUGGAAAAGAUGGAGAGCAAGGACAAAGAGGAGAUGAUGGCAAAAAGGGUGAUACAGGUGAAACUGGAACUGAUGGUAAAAAAGGGGAAUUGGGUGCUCCGGGCCUGCCUGGUACCCAUGUUCUGGUUACUCAACAGGAGGGUGCCACCCUUGAAGAGAUGCGACAGGCAUUCCCUUUGCCAAUGGGACCUCCUGGGGCUAAAGGUCCACCAGGGAUGAAGGGUGACGCUGGUCUUCCAGGGGAAGCAGCUGACAUGAAGAACAUUGAAGUCAUGUUUGAAGACUAUGGCAUAAGGCUGCCCUUGCUGAAGGCACUGAUUGACAGGCUGCUGCAGGACGGCAUGGUGGAGCUUCUGCAGGACCUAACCACCUCUAGGAGAGUCAAUGAGAAGGAGAAACACGGCUCCAACAUUAUCACUGACUACACAAGAACUGUAAAGUAUGAGAUCUCCAAGGAGCCUCUGACAGAGAUGGACACCAUAGAGGAGGCAGUUGACUCUGACUUAGACAGACAGCUACCAGAACCUAACUCUGAUGCUUUGGAUGAAACGGCGGAGGCCCCCACAUUCUGGAGCCUCACCACUCUUAAUGGUCUUAAAGGGGUCCAAGACGUGGGGAGGAUAGAGAGCACCUCUAAGGGGACAGAGGGGACACUGACAGUGGACGAGGAGUUCAGUGAAGCUCCCUCGCCCAAGUUGACUUUAUCAAACUCAACAUUUAACAACACUACGUCUGAAGAGAGGGUCUCUGAGGUACCAGGGGCAAUAGUAGAAACUGUUCUCCUCAGUGGGGAAGACUCCUUGAAGAAAAAGAAGAGUCGAGAACGGAAGGGCAAGGGACAGAAAGGACGACAUAAGAGGCAAAGAGAACGCCUGAUGAGUACGGAGGAGGAGGAGGAGGAAUUAUACGAUGGGGAAGAGUACAGUUAUGAAUAUGAGGAUUCCACAGAUGAUCCCUUACUGUCAAUGGAAAAGCAAGGGGAGUUUGAAAUCACAACAGAAAGCACACUACAUGGAAUGAGCAAAGAGAGUGGCCUGACAACUUUAGGUCCAUAUCCAUCCCAGUCACCGGGUGACAGUGAAAAGAAGGGGGAAUUCAUCACACCUAUCCUUCCCAGCACAACAGAAGAAACAGAGAAGGAUUCCACAGAUGAUCCCUUACUGUCAAUGGAAAAUCAAGGGGAGUUUGAAAUCACAACAGAAAGCACACUACAUGGAAUGAGCAAAGAGAGUGGCCUGACAACUUUAGGUCCAUAUCCAUCCCAGUCACCGGGUGACAGUGAAAAGAAGGGGGAAUUCAUCACACCUAUCCUUCCCAGCACAACAGAAGAAACAGAGAAGGACCUUUCCUAAAUCCACAAAGAUUGAGACUGUAGAUUUGUAAGCACGGAGUGUUUGUAUAAACUGUGAAGUGAAGUGUAUCGCUGGUGAGGAGCAGUCUACCCUUAACCUGACCAGCAUAACAUGAGGAGGGACUUCGCUUCGUCGCGCAAUGAUGAUGUCAUUUGUCCAAUGUCACUCGUCCAAUGCCACUUCUAUGACCAGAAUCGUUUCUUAUACUUAGUCCAAGUACCUAAAAGAUGAACAAUACAUAGGUAAAGCUAAGUUAAAUCAAGACAGUGUAUUAUAUAACGAUUAUUCGACUAAUAAAUUCUUCCAUCAGAUGUCAGUGUUAUUUUAGCGUUGACUUUGCAUAAACUAAUUUAUUUAUUAAAGAAGUUCAAAAUGUUACAUUGGACCUAAGCUAUAGUAUAGCUUCUCUCUGUUGCUUCAGUAUUCCAACACUUUUUACCUCCUCGUAAUUUGUUCAACCAUAUUCUAAUGUUUUCAGUGUAUCGCUGCUUAUCAAUUCCUCAACCAAACGUUAUUUAUUGAAAACAUGGAAAUAGAUUGUAUUUUGUUCCUUUUCUGUAUUAGUUACUACUUUUUCCAAUGAAAUGUGUUUCCAUCAUAUUUUUCAGAAUAUAUAGUAUUCAAACCUGUUUUCACUGGUGAAAUUUUGGCAGUCUAAAGUUCUCCCUUUGUAUUUAACCUCUCUGUGUGCAUGUAAGUAAAUGUUCAAAUGAUCAAAAGUCUUUGUGUCUUCUUUCAUCUAACAUUAGCCUGUAAUACAUUUCUGAUACUUUAGAAUCUGAAGCGACAUAUGCACUUGAUCCAGGGCUGUGCACGGACGCACGCACGCACACACACACACACACUCACACACACGCUCAUGAGUGGGACACUACGGCUGUAGGCCAAGCACCAUAGGAACUCCCCACAGUGGUAAUGGCAC
rnacentral:lncRNA from 1 species